rnacentral:rRNA from 1 species
UACGGAGGUGGCAAGCGUUGUUCGGAAUUACUGGGCGUAAAGGGCGCGUAGGCGGCUAGGCAAGUCAGGUGUGAAAGCCCCGGGCUUAACCCGGGAAUUGCAUCUGAAACUGCUGUGCUUGAGUUCUGGAGGGGGUAGUGGAAUUCCCAGUGUAGCGGUGAAAUGCGUAGAGAUCGGGAGGAACACCCGUGGCGAAGGCGGCCAGCUGGGCCGGACCUGACGCUGAGGCGCGAAGGCGUGGGGAGCGAACGGG